UAUUUUGUUGGAAGUAAAUUAAAACUCUUUCAAAAGUUUUUCUCUGGCUGAGUUUAUCAAACCCUAAUACAUCCACCGCCAUGAGUUUCACUCUAGCAGUUACAGGGCAAAAUAUUGUUAGAUUCUGGUUAUGGGUUUUUGGUAUGACAAUCCGCAAGGUUAAAUGAGUCGAAUGGUGGUCUUAGUUGCCGAUUUCAAUGGGAUUUUGUGCAGAUAUUUAGGAUUUCAUUCUCCGGUACAUCUCUUCAAAAAAACAGAUCCUUCAUGCAAUCAUUUGACAAGGUUUAGCAGCAGAAAAUAAAUGGAGAACAAAGAAGGACCAAGAAAGAAAAAGGAUGCAAGAAGAUCGUGAUUCUGUAUACUGCAAAAGACUCAAAAGCUGGGAAAACUAAUUGGAUGAUGCAUCAAUACCAUCUUGGUACUGAGAAGGCUGAAAAGGAAGGCGCGUUCCUUGUGUCAAAAGUAUAACCCCACUUCCUUCUCGUCUUCAUCUGUACCGAGAUGAUACUCAUGCAUCACCCAGUUAGUUUUCUCUGUAUAUAAAAGCAUUGAGAGCAUGUGUGCUUCCUGACCAUCGUUGAAGAGGAUGGGUGUUUCCAUUGGAUCAAGAUCAAAUAAGUUGGAUGACAAGAUUUCUGCAAAGAAAGAAAAAGUGGACAGAAAGAAGAAGUGAAGAGAACCUUGGAAUUAUUUCAUCUACAUCUUGAUAAAGGAGGUUAAUUAUAUAUAGAACAAGAAACAACCGUCAUUCUUUAUAUUAGGUUUUUAAGAGAGAACAACAAUAAUAAUAUGUGUAGGAAAAAUGUCAUUAGCCUUUCUAAAUGCAUAACAACUCUAAUGUUGUAUUAAGGGUUCUACAGAUGCUCCAUUGCAAGACACUACUACUUUUAGUUUGUGAAAAGCCUUCCGAAGAAUUUAUGUUGUUGUAUAUUGAUGAGAGUGCCCACGUUAAAUUGAAACCUCUUUGAAAACAAUAUAAUGGAACCUGAGGAAUUCCCCCUUCUAAAAAUAAAUCUAUUACCAUCAUAAAUUGAUUAUGUAAGUGCAUUUGUAAGUUGAAACAUCAAUAUUCAGUUACAAGUAAGGAAUGACGUCUUGAAUGCAAUCAACUUGCACUUUCUGAAUAUUUCUUCAAGAACUCAUGGAGUAAUGCCAGUACAGUUCUUAGAUGGAAGUAAUGUGAGUACAGUUCUUAGAUGGAAGUAAUGUGAUUUGAAGAUACUGAGGCCUGUUAGUGUUGGUCAUAUCCCUGCAUGCAUAUUUGAUAUGCAUUAGGUAAUAGACACAAUA